GACGCAGCGACGCCGCGUGGGGGAUGACGGCCUUCGGGUUGUAAACCUCUUUCGACCUUGACGAAGCCUUUCGGGGUGACGGUAGGGGUAGAAGAAGCACCGGCCAACUACGUGCCAGCAGCCGCGGUAAUACGUAGGGUGCGAGCGUUGUCCGGAAUUAUUGGGCGUAAAGAGCUCGUAGGCGGUCUGUCGCGUCGGUCGUGAAAACUUGGGGCUUAACCCUGAGCUUGCGGUCGAUACGGGCAUGACUGGAGUUCGGCAGGGGAGACUGGAAUUCCUGGUGUAGCGGUGAAAUGCGUAGAUAUCAGGAGGAACACCGGUGGCGAAGGCGGGUCUCUGGGCCGAUACUGACGCUGAGGAGCGAAAGCGUGGGGAGCGAACAGGAUUAGAUACCCUGGUAGUCCACGCCGUAAACGGUGGGCGCUAGGUGUGGGGGCCAUUCCACGGUCUCUGUGCCGCAGCUAACGCAUUAAGCA
rnacentral:rRNA from 1 species